ACGUAAUAUCUCAUAAAAUGCAGUAAACCGAAAUAAAUAGUCAUAGAAUUUAAUGGAAUUAAGUCCUAAAAUAUGAUAUAAUUUCGUGUUAUCAAUAGACCCCAUCUCCUGAUCAUGCCCUGAUUGGCCCAAUGCAACUGAUUAGGGUUGACCAGUGGUCAAAACCCUAAUCUCAAGGAAUCUGCUUCAACACUUGACGAUAACAAACCAUGAUGAUGAUGAUGAAUCAUUGUAAUCAAGAUGAAGACCAAUCUCCUUGAGAAUCAUGAAACCCUAAUUUGGACCUCCACAUCCUCAGAUGAUUAAUGACCAGUCCAAUGAAACCCUAGCUUGCACAUUGACUUCCUCAUCUUCUGAAUCAAGACUUGGGAGAAUGGCUUGCACAAUAUGACCACAUGAUAUGCAAUAUGCAAUGCCUAAUGACCUAACAAUGAUAUGGAAUAUGUUAUGCUAGUCCCAAGAGAGGAGGGCAAAUUUUGAGGUGUUACACCCAUACGCAAAGUCGCUCUAGACAAGGGUAGGAGAGGCUCCCUCUCAUCAUUCCUCAUUACUUAAAAUGCAUGAUACUUCUCUUGACCGACAAGUUGUUGGUGAAGAACCUUUGUUGUUGAUCCUUGCGUUGGUGUUGAACUUGUAUGAAGAAGACUUGGUAGUUUAAUCGAUUCGUAUUGUACUAAAGUAUAUAAAUAAGGGCGAACACUUUGAAUAUUUGGGGCAUACGCCCCAUACGCAAAGUCGCUCUAGACAAGGGUAGGAGAGACUCCCUCUCAUCAUUCCUUAUUACUUAAGGCUCAUUUCAUACAAUUUAAAUUGUAUUUACCAAGUGUUGACCUUUGCAAUGCUUGAGAAGUAGUCCACUUUGCUAGCUAUGCUUGAUUGAUUUUGACUUGAAGUCUUGAUCUUGUAUUUGAACCUUGAGGUCUUGAGCGUAUACAUGAUAGCUUGAGCGCAACAAACUUGCCAUAUCAAGGGUUUUUGAUCACCUAAAAUAGACUUGGGUUUACAACAUGAUUACAAAGGAUUUGGUUGACCAAAGUGUCCUUUGGUUAACACUAAUCGAUGGGAAAAAUAAUAGUUGAAUUAUAUAUAAUAAUAAAUACUAUUAAAUUAAACAACUAUUAGACAAUUCUAGUUAAAUCCCUAAGCUAAGGGAUCAUGCAUUAAAUCAGGAAUUUCUAAUUAGAAUCCCUAAGCUAGGAGAGCAUGUAUUAAAAUCAAGAUUUUAGGCCCUGAGGGCAAAAUAGUCAUUAUGCUAAGAAAAUUAGGAUAUGAUAAUCAACAUUUAAUAAGGGACUAAUCCUAAUGACCUAAUUAUGCCAAUUUUCAAUUAACCUCUAAUUCUAAAAAUAAACUAUUCUAAAAAUUCUAAUUAUCUAAAGAUUUCUAAUAAUGCUAAUUAAAAUUCUAAAAGGUUCUAAAACUCUAAUUAAUUAGUAUUUACAUCUAAAAAUUAUUUAACCUAAUUAAUCUAAAAUCUAUUAUUUAUAAGAAUUAAUCAAGAUUAUCAUGAAUCAAAAUCUAAUCCAAAAUAUUCUGAUAUUCCUAAUUAAAACCAAAAUUCACUCGAAUCCAAUACCUAAUUGACUUUAAUUCUACCUAAUUAACUCUAAAAUUUUUUUGUAAGAAUUCCAAGAUUAAAACAAUUUUAUGAUCUAAAAUAUUAUAUCUAAUCCUAACUAGUUCCUAAACCUGAUUAUUCUAACCAAUUUAAUUAAAAUGAAUCCCUAAUUAUAAAUCCUAAUUAAAUAGAUUACCAAGAGUUAAAUAAAAGGGGAAGGUGCAGAACUUGGAAUUUUGGUGUGAACAGCAAUGGAUUAACAAACAACAAAGCCAAGAUCUGAACGCUGGGGAGGUAUAAGCCCAUGAUCCAGGGCCCAUUAACCUUUCCCGAAAAAAUCUGGAGUUAACACAAAAAAAGGAGUAUGUUGUUUGAGGGUGUAAAUAGAGGGUUUGGCCAAGAGAAGACUUGGGCCACGGGCCCAUUGCUUGUUGGGUGAACGAAAUCCAAACCCCAAGUCUGACCCACCAACGAACCCUGAAGCUACAAAAACGAUCGCAGAUUCCUCCCGAAGCUAGACGGAAUUUCACGGCCGCGGGGAGAGAACGGAAACGGGUUCUCCUGGUCGUCAUCGAGAGAGGCGUUCUCGUCUUCUCCUAAAUCCCUGCAUCAACUCAACACUUUAGAUGUCUUUUCUCCUUUGUCGAGAAUUCACACGACUCCAUGAAGCAAGUUGAACUCCGAAUCCAAGACGUUCGUCGAAUUGAAUCCGAAUUAUUGGAUUCAGUACUCGUCUUCUCCAAAUCGAAAAUGGAGAGUUCACCGAUACUUAGUUUUAUGCUAAAUCGAGGAGGAACGCGGGCGUAUUUAUCAGAUUCAUAUUGCUUAAAGAAGCAAGAGGUGGAGGGAUAACUUACCGGUUCGAAGUAGAGGAAUCUUCCGAUGCGGCGGCUCGACGGUAACGGUCUCACAGGUGCCUCGAUUCUCUUCUUCUUUCCUUUUACUCUCCUUCUUCUUAUUCUCUUCCGUAGAAGCGUGUUUGUUGCUUCUUACAUUCGCUACUGAUGCGUGGUUGAGAGAGGGUUGCGUGUGGUUUGUAGUGCA
rnacentral:lncRNA from 1 species